AUUGAACGCUGGCGGCAGGCCUAACACAUGCAAGUCGAACGAGUGGCGGACGGGUGAGUAAUGUCUGGGAAACUGCCUGAUGGAGGGGGAUAACUACUGGAAACGGUAGCUAAUACCGCAUACCAUCGGAUGUGCCCAGAUGGGAUUAGCUAGUUGGUGGGGUAAAGGAUCACCUAGGCGAAGAUCCCUAGCUGGUCUGAGAGGAGGACCAGCCAAACGGGAAGUGAGACACGGGCCAGACUCCUACGGAAGGCAGCAGUGGGGAAUAUUGCACAAUGGGCGCAAGCCUGAUGCAGCCAUGCCGCGUGUAUGAAGAAGGCGUUCGGGUGGUAAAGUACUUUCAGCGGGGAGGCGGUACCCGCAGAAGAAGCACCGGCUAACUCCGUGCCAGCCGCCGCGGUAAUAC
rnacentral:rRNA from 1 species